rnacentral:lncRNA from 1 species
CAAAACCUUAUCCAACCUUAUCUUAUCUUAUCCUAUCCUAAUCCUAUCCUAAUUUAAUUCCAGCUACAUGGGGGAUUUAUUUUCAGAUUAGGACACAUUAAAAUUGGUUUCUAGAAGCCCUUAUCCACUCCUACAAAGGUGCUACACCUUAUCCCUUGUUUUUCUAGAAAUCAGCCACAAAACAACCUUUCUAGAAAACCUUAUCCCUUGUCCUACAAAAGUGACGCCCCAAAACCUUUCUAGAACUUCUAGAAACCUGAUUAUUCCUUUCCCCCUUGGUUUCUAAAAGCCUUAGCCUUUUCCUUCAAGGAUUGUGUGUUAUUAUCCUAUACAAAUUAGGCCUUUAAAUCCUUUUCCUUUGCUACAUAGGGGCUGCGAAUUUCAGCCUAUAAAUACCAUCCUCUACCAUAAUUUACUACACCAUUCACCCAAAAACCCCUCUUGUGCCGUGAGUUUUGCAAGGAGAAGAAGGAAGAAAUCUGGAGCCGUGCUUGCCAUUCAAGAAGCUUGGAUUGUUAGAGCGUUUCUAGGUGUUUUCUAUCUUUGUUUUAAUGUUUAAAUUUAUUUAUCUUUGUUUAUUUGCGAACAUGAGGAACUAAUUUCUUUAUAGUUAGAGGGGAAUUCAAAGCCAUGAUCAUAUGUUUUAUAUGACUUGAUUUCCUCCAGUUAUGAUUUUAUAAAUCGUGAAUGUGGUUUACUUAUCUAUUUGAUUGAUAACUUGUUCUUGUGUGUUGAUUAAGGAUGCAUACUUAGUUUGCAUGCAUGAAUUUGAUGCUAGAAUAUAAGAGAAUUUCACCUAAUCGUUAUUAACUUAUAUUCAUAAGUAGUAAAAGUCGCUAGUCACGAUUGUGUUAAGUAAAUCCUUGGCAAGAGUAACAUGCGUAUUUGAUAGGAGCAUAUUUAUGCGCCUUAGUUAGCUAGUUCUGAUGCAUCUUUGUUAUGUUUUCUUCGUUAAAGUAGUCUUCUAAGCUACUUUCAUGUGUUUUCAGGUUUAAAGGACAUAUUACAUGAAAUGAUGCAAUUUGGAGCUUUUGGAGCAAAAAGUGAGCUUGGAAUGAAAAGGACAUGCUUGGAACACAAGGUUGGGAUGAAAUUGAAGAGUUCGAGAUUUGAGGUUUCCUACUUGAAGUAGGAAAGCUAAGCCUAAAAGUUUCCAUUUUGGGUUGAUCUUUCCUAAAUCGGAAUUGGCAACCAAAGUUUCUAAAGUUGGAAGUUUCUAUUCUUGGAGGUUUCCAUUUUCGUGAGUUUUUAUUCUCGGCUUUGGGCUUUUAGAUGACUUAAACCCUAAUUCCUUGUGAACCCUAAGUCCAUGCCGCAUCCUAGGGCCUAAUCAUUCAAUUUCUGCCAUGUUAAACCCUAAUCCAUUUCUCCUAAGCCCAUGCCGCACCUAAUGUUCUAGAAACCCAAUUUUCUGGUGGAUUUCCAACCCUAGCCGCACCUAACCCUAGCCCAUUGUCUAAUCUGAUUUCUUUAGGGUUUAGGUGCCUAUAUAUAUGUGUUUUACAUCCUUUGGCCGAUCAUCUCCCUCUCCAUAAUUCAGAAAUCAUCCAACCCUUAUUUCCCCACCUUGCCGCAGCCACCUUCAUCCAUUCCAGCCACUUCCCAUCCUUGCCGCAGCCUUCAUCCACCUCUAGCCACCAUCCUACACCUCCAUACACCAUCCCCACUCCUUGCCGCACCACCAUACCAUCCUAAUUCCCUUCUAAACCCAAAAACACCCUAAACCCUCUCUGCCGCAGCAAGGAGAAGAAGAAAGAGGAGCUUGAAGUCAGAAAUUCAA